rnacentral:sRNA from 1 species
UUGACACUAAGGGCGGAGUGACAUAAUUUCAGGAGUGAGGGUUAGGGAGAGGUUUCCCCCUCCCCCUGGGGUUCUUAGUAAGCCUGGAAGCUAAUCACUAAGAGUAUCACCAGUAUGAUGACGUGCUUCAUCAUACCCCUUUCCUUAUU